GACGGAGGAUGCAAGUGUUAUCCGGAAUCACUUGGCGUAAAGCGUCUGUAGGUGGUCAAAUAAGUCAACUGUUAAAUCUUGAGGCUUAACAUCAAAAUCGCAGUCGAAACUAUUAGACUAGAGUAUAGUAGGGGUAAAGGGAAUUUCCAGUGGAGCGGUGAAAUGCGUAGAGAUUGGAAAGAACACCGAUGGCGAAGGCACUUUACUGGGCUAUUACUAACACUCAGAGACGAAAGCUAGGGUAGCAAAUGGG
rnacentral:rRNA from 1 species